rnacentral:rRNA from 1 species
UACGUAGGGGGCAAGCGUUGUCCGGAUUUAUUGGGCGUAAAGAGCGUGUAGGCGGCCAGAUAGGUCUGUUGUGAAAACUCGAGGCUCAACCUCGAGACGCCGACGGAAACCAUCUGGCUAGAGUCCGGAAGAGGAGAGUGGAAUUCCUGGUGUAGCGGUGAAAUGCGCAGAUAUCAGGAGGAACACCCGUGGCGAAAGCGGCUCUCUGGGACGGUACUGACGCUGAGACGCGAAAGCGUGGGGAGCAAACAGG